rnacentral:rRNA from 1 species
GACGAACGCUGGCGGCGUGCUUAACACAUGCAAGUCGAACGGAAAGGCCCUGCUUUUGUGGGGUGCUCGAGUGGCGAACGGGUGAGUAACACGUGAGUAACCUGCCCUUGACUUUGGGAUAACUUCAGGAAACUGGGGCUAAUACCGGAUAGGAGCUCCUGCUGCAUGGUGGGGGUUGGAAAGUUUCGGCGGUUGGGGAUGGACUCGCGGCUUAUCAGCUUGUUGGUGGGGUAGUGGCUUACCAAGGCUUUGACGGGUAGCCGGCCUGAGAGGGUGACCGGCCACAUUGGGACUGAGAUACGGCCCAGACUCCUACGGGAGGCAACAGUGGGGAAUAUUGCACAAUGGGAUGAAGCCUAAUGCAGCAACGCCGCGUGCGGGAUGACGGCCUUCGGGUUGUAAACCGCUUUCGCCUGUGACGAAGCGUGAGUGACGGUAAUGGGUAAAGAAGCACCGGCUAACUACGUG